rnacentral:rRNA from 1 species
GUAUAGGCAAUAGAAAAAGCUAUUGGCACGAUAUAGACUCGUACUGUAAGGGAAAGAUGAAAUAACAAUGAAUAAGCCAAGCAAUAAAUAGCAAAGAUAAACGCUUGUACCUCUUGCAUCAUGAUUUAACGAGAACCACCAAGCAAAGCGGACUUAAGCUUGCCAUCCCGAAACCAAGUGAGCUACUUACAAGCAGCUAUUUCCUGAGCGAACCCAUCUCUGUUGCAAAAGAGUGAGAUGACUUGUUAGUAGAAGUGAAAAGUCAACCGAGCUGGGUGAUUGCUGGUUACCUGUGAAAUGAAUCUAAGUUCCACCUUGACACCUCCAAAGACCUUCAGUUACCUUACCCCUCAUGAAGACAGUCAAGAGUGAUUUAAAGGAGGUACAGCUCCUUCAAAAAAGAAUACAACCUCUCCUAGCGGAUAACUACUGACCGUAUGAACAAAACUGUGGGCCUUCAAGCAGCCACCAACAAAGAAUGCAUCAAAGCUCAACCCUAAAAAAUUUAAAAACUAUAUGACUCCCUUUCUACCAACAGGUUAACCUAUAAUAAUAGGAGAAUUUAUACUAAAAUGAGUAACUAGGGCAUGCCCCUCUUAAGCGGAAGCUUACAUUCCCACAUUAUUAACAGACAACUAAUAUCCCCACUCCAACAAUAUUAGAUAUUUAGCCGUCUGUUAACCCAACCCAGGAGUGCCUACUAGAAAGAUUAAAAUCUGUAAAAGGAACUAGGCAAACCUAAGGCCCAACUGUUUAUCAAAAAUACAGCCUUCAGCCAAACCAAGUAUUGAAGGUGAUGCCUGCCCAGUGACACCAUGUUCAAUGGCCGCAGUAUCCUAACAGUGCGAAGGUAGCACAAUCGUCUCAUAAGUCGAGACUUGUAUGAAUGGCUAAACGAGGUCUCUUACAGAUAAUCAGUGAAAUUCAUCUCCUGUGCAAAAGCAAGAAUGAGCACAUAAGACGAGAAGACCCUGUGGAACUUAAAAAUCAGAAGCCACUCCAUAACAAAAUCAAACCUACUCGGCCUACCAUUACACUAAAAUGCUGGAUCACAUUUUUUCAGUUGGGGCAACCUUGGAGAAAAACAGAUUCUCCCAGGACCAUCCUCUCUUGACCAAGAGCAACCCCUCAACAUACUAGUAGUAACCAGACCCAAUACAAUUGAUCAAUGGACCAAGCUACCCCAGGGACAACAGCACAAUCCCCUCCAAGAGCCCAUAUCGACGAGGGGGUUUACGACCUUGAUGUUGGAUCAGGACAUCCUAAUGGUGCAGCCACUAUUAAGGUUUUGUUUGUUCAAUGAUUAACAGUCCUACGUGAUCUGAGUUCAGACUAGAGCAAUCCAGGUCAAUUUCUAUCUAUGAUGAACUUUUCCUAGUAUGAAAGGACCAGAAAAGUGGGGCCAAUGCUACGAUGUAUGCCCCCUCUCUAAGUAAUGUCUUCAACUGAAUUACCAAGAGAUCUCCCAUAAUGCCUUAUCCUAGAAAAGGAUCGCUAGUGUGGCAGAGUUUGGUAAAUGCAAAAGGUUUAAGCCCUUUACUC